rnacentral:rRNA from 1 species
AGCAGCCGCGGUAAUUCCAGCUCCAAUAGCGUAUAUUAAAGUUGUUGCAGUUAAAAAGCUCGUAGUUGAACUUCGGGGUUUACUCAUUGGUCAGGCUUAAUUGUCUGUACUGGUGAGAUAAAUCUCUACCUUCUGAGGAACUUUCAUGCCAUUUAUUUGGUGUGAUUGGAAAUCAGGACUGUUACUUUGAAAAAUUAGAGUGUUUAAAGCAGGCUAACGUCUGAAUACAUUAGCAUGGAAUAAUGAAAUAGGACGUUUGAUUCUAUUUUGUUGGUUUCUAGGAUCGACGUAAUGAUUAAUAGGGAUAGUUGGGGGCAUUAGUAUUCAAUUGUCAGAGGUGAAAUUCUUGGAUUUAUUGAAGACUAACUACUGCGAAAGCAUUUGCCAAGGAUGUUUUCAUUAAUCAAGAACGAAAGUUAGGGGAUCGAAGACGAUCAAGAUACCGUCGUAGUCUUAACCAUAAACUAUGCCGACUAGGGAUCGGAUG